UCAGGUAGGGAUACCCGCUGAACUUAAGCAUAUCAAUAAGCGGAGGAAUU
rnacentral:rRNA from 1 species